UACGUAGGGUCCGAGCGUUGUCCGGAAUUAUUGGGCGUAAAGGGCUCGUAGGCGGCCAACUAAGUCAGACGUGAAAUCCCUCGGCUUAACCGGGGAACUGCAUCUGAUACUGGAUGGCUUGAGUUCGGGAGAGGGAUGCGGAAUUCCCGGUGUAGCGGUGAAAUGCGCAGAUAUCGGGAGGAACACCGGUGGCGAAGGCGGGUCUCUGGGCCGACACUGACGCUGAGGAGCGAAAGCGUGGGGAGCGAACAGG
rnacentral:rRNA from 1 species